rnacentral:rRNA from 1 species
UCCUAAUGGAGAGGCCGAUGGCAGAAACGGUUAAUAUUCCGUUACUAUCUAUUGGGGCGAUGUGGAGACGGAGGAGUGACACUUCCGCGAGCUGACGGAAUAGCUCGUUAAAGACCGUAGGUGUUGAGGAUGGCAGGCAAAUCCACCAUCCGAGCUGAAAGUCGAUAGUAUGCAGCGUCUUCGGACAAUGCAAUAGCGAAGGUAAUCCUACUCCCGAGAAAAUCCGCUAAGCAUCACUUAUGGGGCACCCGUACCGCAAACGGACACACGUAGUCGGGUAGAACAUACUAAGGCGUUGAGAGAUUCAUGAUUNNNNNNNNNNCGGUCCUAAGGUAGCGAAAUUCCUUGUCGGGUAAGUUCCGACCUGCACGAAUGGUGUAAUGAUCUGGACGCUGUCUCAACCAUGAUCUCAGUGAAAUUGUAGUAUCGGUGAAGAUGCCGAUUACCCGCGAUGGGACGAAAAGACCCCGUGAACCUUUACUACAGCUUAGCAUUGACCUUGGUCAUCCGAUGUGUAGGAUAGGCCGGAGGCUUCGAAGCGGGUGCGCCAGCAUUCGUGGAGCCAUCCUUGAAAUACGGCCCUUUGGCUGUCUGAGGUCUAACGCGCCUAUGGUGCGGACACUGCUUGGUGGGUAGUUUGACUGGGGUGGUCGCCUCCAAAAGCGUAACGGAGGCUUCCAAAGGUGCCCUCGGGCCGAUUGGUAACCGGCCUUAUAGAGUGCAAUGGCAUAAGGGCGCUUGACUGGGAGGCAGACAUGCCGAGCAGGCAGGAAACUGGGGCAUAGUGAUCCGGCGGAUGUGUAUGGAAACUCCAUCGCUCAAAGGAUAAAAGGU